GUCAGGACGAACGCUGGCGGCGUGCUUAACACAUGCAAGUUGAACGGUAUGACAUGGAAGCUUGCUGAAGUGUCAUAUAGUAGCGGACGGGUGAGUAAUGCAUGAGAAGCUGCCAUUGGGAGGGGGACAACAGUUGGAAACGGCUGCUAAUACCCCGUAUGCCGGAGGGUGAAAGGGAGUAAUCCGCCCGAUGAGGUGCUCAUGUCCUAUCAGCUGGUUGGUGGGGUAACGGCCUACCAAGGCGACGACGGGUAGCCGGCCUGAGAGGGUGAACGGCCACACUGGAACUGAGAUACGGUCCAGACUCCUACGGGAGGCAGCAGGUGGGGAAUAUUGGGCAAGUGGGGCAACCCUGACCCAGCGACGCCGCGUGGGGAAGACGGCCUUCGGGUUGUAAACCUCUUUUGUACGGGAAGAAGGAAGUGACGGUACUGUACGAAUAAGUCCCGGCUAACUACGUGCCAGCCGCCGC
rnacentral:rRNA from 1 species